rnacentral:rRNA from 1 species
GACGAACGCUGGCGGCGUGCUUAACACAUGCAAGUCGAACGAGAAUCUACGGAUCGAGGAUUCGUCCAAGAGAAGUAGAGGACAGUGGCGGACGGGUGAGUAACGCGUGAGGAACCUGCCUUUCAGAGGGGGACAACAGUUGGAAACGACUGCUAAUACCGCAUGACACAUUGGAGUCGCAUGGCUCUGAUGUCAAAGAUUUAUCGCUGAAAGAUGGCCUCGCGUCUGAUUAGCUAGUUGGUGAGGUAACGGCCCACCAAGGCGACGAUCAGUAGCCGGACUGAGAGGUUGACCGGCCACAUUGGGACUGAGAUACGGCCCAGACUCCUACGGGAGGCAGCAGUGGGGAAUAUUGGGCAAUGGGCGCAAGCCUGACCCAGCAACGCCGCGUGAAGGAAGAAGGCUUUCGGGUUGUAAACUUCUUUGUCAGGGACGAGUAGAAGACGGUACCUGACGAUAAGCCACGGCUAACUACCGUGCCAGCAGCCG